rnacentral:lncRNA from 7 species
ACAUACAUAGCAAAAUGACUGGGCAAAGCAUGUGCAGAAGGCACGCUGAUUUUGGUGGCAUCUCUAAUUCAUGCAUUAAAAGAGAUUCAGAGAGGCACUCAGCUUUAAUAGGAAAGAAGAUAUUCGUCAAGUAUUCAUCUCACUGAUGAAGGAGAUCCUCCUGAGCCUCCUCUUCCCUAGGCUGAAUGGCCCCAGUUUUCUGCACAGCCUUCCCUUAUAGGAGAGAUGCUCCAGUACCAGCAGCUCUACACAGGAUACCACUAAAGGGAUUGUCUACCAACUAUAUUUUUAGCUUACAACAUCAAGCGUUUGACCCUGAAAUGAGACUUAAGAAAACCCUAAAAACAAAAUCCAUUCCAGAAGCAGACACCAUGGGAAAGUCACAGCAUAUGUGACCCAGCAUGCAAAAAUGGUUACCAGAUGUUUAAUUCCAACUAAAAAUCCCAUGAGAGGAAGCUUCUGCUGCACUGUCCGUCCUCAUUCCAGAUUAUAUUCCAAGUAAAGCACACCAUAUUCCAAGUAUUUCACAGUGUCAACGUUGGCUAAGUGCUUCAGGUCUCAAAUCCCAUUGUUUUUGCUGAACUUGCUUACAUAUGUCAGUACUGACAAAUCCUUCUCUACGGUCUACAAAAAGCAUUUGGCUAUUAGCAAGGCUAUAUCUGAUCCCAUUGAGUAAUUCCAGAGGAAAUGAUCAAAUGUACUUCCUAUUCAGAUUUCUUCUGGACUGAAGAGUUAAUACUAGUUUUCUCUUGGAAAUAUUUUGAACAAGGAAAGAGGACAAGCACCGAAAGUGCCAUAUUCUUUAGAAAGACUUUGGAAACUGGAAAAAAGACAAACAGAAAACCAUUUGAACACAGUUCCUCUAUGCAUUUGUGAUCAACUCAUCUUAGAAGCUAAGCUGCAGAAGUUCCACCAACUUAUUUUCCAGUAUUUCUGGACACACCUGAAACAAGAAGUGGCAUGCGUCAGAUAUGUAAGAACUUAAUUUUUCCUGCUUAUGAGAUAUUGCAUAAGCAGAAUGAGCAUUUCCGCAAUAAGGUUUUGUUUUUACUGCUUCUGGAAACAUUAAAAAGAACUGAUGCAUCUUAGAAGUACACUUCCCUUAUAAAUGCGUGUACAUAUGCACGUAUCUACAUAAACGUACAUAUUCACUAUAGUUCAUUUUCUGCUAUAUUCU